GUGCUUGCUUCGGCAGCACAUAUGCUAAAAUUGGAGCAAUACAGAGAAGAUUAGCAUGGCCCCUGCACAAGGAUGACAAGCAAAUUCAUGAAACAUUCCUUAUUUUU
ensembl:snRNA U6 U6 spliceosomal RNA